AUUUUACAGGUUUCUUAUUCUGCUCGGUUCCCAGAACUGUUAGUGCCCUAUGAAUAAAAGCAAUCGCGAGAUCUUGCAAUGUCGUGCGGUCACGUGACUCCGCGAUCAGACAGUUAUUUUUUUAGGCAUGAUGGCGCCAAACAGCAGUAUCCACAUUAAUGUAAAUAUAAUAUCGAUUUGGUGCACCGCGCGAGGAAGAAAGCCAUCGGGUGUCCUUACGGAGGCUAUUUGAGGGCGUCGAGUGAGCUCGACAGGAGCCCUCGGGGCCACGAACUCCAAGAGGAAUCCGCUUUCUAGAUAAUAAAUACAUGGACGACUAUGUAGGUGUGCACGGCUCACCUGCACGUGCCACGUAUCGCUAGCUUACUUGGUAUAGUAGAAUGGCACAGCGAGGCAAGCGAAUAAAUAGAAACGACAAUGAUUUGGCGUCUUGCCCAGGCGCAAUCAAAAGGCGCAAAUGUAGGCUGGGUCCAGCGACGGGUUCGUCGUCGCUGGCAGCUACCAUGGGGCCCUCAGAAGAGGAGGAGACGAUGGCGUCGUCCAGUCAAGGAGGGGCAUCCUGGACCCCCAGACCAGUCUGUGACAUUAAAAUCUCUAGUAUAUAUAACCGCUCCUCUGCUGAGGCUCCUGCAGAAUUAUUUCGUAAGGAUUUGAUUAGCGCAAUGAAAUUACCUGACAGCGAGCCAUUAAGUCCCAAUGAAUAUUGGGUUAUUACUGAUCAAUGGAAACAAGAAUGGGAGAGAGGUGUUCAAGUACCUGUCAACCCAGACUCCCUUCCAGAACCAACAGUCACAAUCACACAAGCAACACCCAUAAAGCAGCACAGUGAAUUUAAACUACCCAAAAAGUUCGUAAGGAUAUCUCGUGACGAUUAUUUUAAUCCUGAAGAUCAUCAUUUAAGUACAACACCAGCACGAGCAGAAAAAGCUUGUGCCUAUGACCUCGAUGAUACUGAUAUAGCUUGGUUGGAUGUAUUAAAUGGUGAACGUGCACAGGCUGGUCAAUUGCCUAUUACGGAAUCGCAAUUAGAACGUGUAAUAGAAGAACUGGAAAUUCGUUGUUGGGAAAGAAUACAGACUAUAGUGAAAAAUGAAGAAGGUCUUGGUAUUGAAUAUGAUGAAAAUGUGAUCUGUGAUGUUUGCAGAUCUCCCGAUUCUGAGGAAGGAAAUGAGAUGGUAUUUUGUGACUGUUGUAACAUAUGUGUACAUCAAGCAUGUUAUGGAAUUACGUCAAUACCGGAUGGUUCAUGGCUAUGCAGAACUUGUUCUCUGAGUCAACGACCAGAUUGUGUUCUUUGUCCUAAUAAAGGUGGUGCUAUGAAAUGUACACGUAGUGGCCAAAAGUGGGCUCAUGUUUCUUGUGCUUUAUGGAUCCCAGAAGUCAGCAUUGGCUGUGUCGAAAGGAUGGAACCUAUUACAAAAAUAUCCAGCAUUCCGCAAAGUCGAUGGGCCCUAAUAUGUGUAUUGUGCCGAGAAAGAGUCGGUGCUUGCAUCCAGUGCAGUAUAAAGACGUGUAAGACAGCUUAUCAUGUAACGUGUGCCUUCAAAUAUGGCUUGGAAAUGAAGGCAAUUAUUGAAGAUGAAAUGGCUGACGAUGGAGUAAAAUUAAGGUCUUACUGCCAGAAACAUAGUAGAACAAAUACAAAAGACAAAGUUCAAGGCACUGGAAGCAGUAUAGGAAGUGGAGCUGACAAAGCAGGAUCAGAUUCCGAAGAUGCGGAAUCUAGGAGACGCAAAAGGAAAGACAUGACUUCUGAAGAAAAAAAUCAAGCGCGCGCUGCAAAACUACAAGAAAUCGAAGCGGAAUUUGACAAACACGUGAGCUUAAAGGAUAUCGCUUCACAGCAAUUAGACGUAGAUCCUGAUGGCAUUGUUUAUAUCUAUAAUUAUUGGAAACUCAAGAGAAGGGCCGGACAUAACAAACCACUGUUGGCACCGCGUUGCGGAGAACUUUCGGGUAGCGGGUCUCGUAAUCAAGGCCAAGCAGCAGAUCUCGAAAAGAUGAGGACAUUCGUGCAAUUACGCCAGGACUUGGAAAGGGUGCGGAAUCUGUGUUACAUGGUCGGCAGAAGAGAAAAACUUUGCCGAACAUUUCUCAGACUACGGGAACAGACUUUCCAUAAACAGGUUCUGGUAAUGUCUGGUCCGCCUCUACCACCAGCAGCAGCCGUUGCCGUGAUGGAAGCAAAUCACGGACCCUCGAUAUACGACCGAUUGUAUUCCCAUCCCGACUCGGAGGAUCAUACUCACGACUUCGACACGAUCAUUGCCAGAAUCGCUGGUAUAGACUCUCCGACUACCGAAGAGAAGAAGAGCCAGCAGCAGCAGCAGCAACAACAGCAACAGCAAGACUUCAACGGUGCAUCUAGUAAAAAAUUAUACUUCAACGGCUCCGUCCGAAGGAAGAAUCUCUAUGGCAGUGAUCUAUCGUCUGUCAGUAGCAGCGAAACGGACGCGGCGAAGGCGAAAACAACUGAGAAAUCGAAAACCGAGUCGAGCACGGAGGAGGAGAGCAACGUUUCGACAAAGACCAAGCUCCCGUCGCGAAGGAAAACGAAGAAGAUUGUCCAGUCGGCCGGCAAGCUGCACUCGUCGCUCAGGGAGAACAGUGAAAACGAAAAGUUCGUGAACAGUAGAUCGCACACGCUCGAGCACAUGGAGAAAGAACUGGGGAGCGCCUCUGGCAGCGAGAGCGACGAAUUGUUAACGUUAAGCGGCGGCGCGACAAAGCAUUUCACUGCUUCCGCUAUUUACUCUGACACUGACUCCGAUUCCCAGGAACACGCGUCCCACUCUGCGGUGUUGAUCACGAAGGCAGCAGUGAAAGAAUUCUCCGCGGCGAAUCUGUCGAAAAAUUCGCAGAAAGGUUUCAGCAAGGACUCGAGACACGUCGAGUCGGCGUAUCACAACACAGGAUUGAAGAACAAAGAGAAUCAGAAUAAAAGCAGCAGCAAGAAGAAAGAGUACAUACCCUCGGCGUUAAUCGUCCCACAGAGGCAAGCUGCGAAGAAAGCAUCGGAGAUCAUGCAACGUACGCAGCAAGGCAAGAAGGACAACUCGGCGCCGGAAUCUAUGCCAGAGAUAAUCAAAUCUCCCGUCGAGGAACUGCCCAAGUGUUCCUCGUCGAAACAAUCGAAAGACAAAAGCCCCAGUAAAAAGCAGAGGGAGAACAAACAGUUGAAAGAAACUAAAAACAACGACGUGUACGAUUUCGACAAGGAGGACGGGACGGAGAUUCUGGCGUACGUGCCGCAGAGGCAAGCUGCAAAAAAGGCCGCGGAGCACAUCAAGAGCGGUAUGGGUACCAAGACUAUACAGCAAAUCGAACAGGAAACGCUCGACGGAAGGUCGAAGAAGGAAUCCCCAGAGACGGGGAAACGAAAGGAGAUCAAAAGGGACGAUUCUUCCAGAAAAGAGGAGCUCGCUUCGCGAAAAGAGGAGACAUCCUCCUCGUCGUCGUCGUCGUCAUCCUCUUCGUCCUCCUCGUCAUCUUCGUCCUCUUCUUCGUCCUCCUCCUCCUCGUUCUCCAGAAAAGACGAGGUCGUCUCGUCCAGAAAGGAGGAGUUGGUGUCGAAGAAGGAAGAGUCCCCCUCUAGGAAAGAGGAGAUCAUCUCGAAGGAGAGCCGUUCGAGGAGACCCGGAAAGUCGAGCGAACGGAAGUCGAUACUUUCGAGCAACAGCGACAGCAACAGUAGCAAUAACAGUUGUAGCAGCUCGUCGGAGAGCAGCAGCGACUCCGAGAAUCCGGAACGUAGGAAAUUCUCAGACGAACUGAUGGACAUUUCCUCCUGUACCACUUCCUCUGAAAGCGACACUCCGGGCAACAACAGGACGAAAGGAAAACCGAUGGCGGUUUCAAGCGCGGCUAGCAAAAGGCAACAGUCCGGUAUCAACAAGGGAUCGCCGGAACGACAGGAUGCUGAGAGAAAGCAAAUAUCUGGGCGGAAACUCAAGAAGCUGCCCGAGAAGAAGCUUAAAACUUCCGAUGGGCGGCGGGGACCUGAGUUUCAGCCGCCUACUGAGAGAGAGGAACCUCGUAGAACCUCCAAAGAACAGCAGCAGCAGCAACACCAACACCAACAACAACAACCACAGGCACACCAGCAGGAAGCAAUUGUCAAGAAGCAAGAUCAAAGAGACAACAAACAAAAACAAUCAUCAUCAUCAUCAUCAUCAGCAGCAGCAGCAGCAACAGGAACGGAGGCUAAUGAGGAUCUGCUCAUUAGGUCUGGAGAUCAUGAUGGGCCGAGAAGUGUUUCUGGGUCCAGACCUCCCAAAAAGUCGGGUCAGGCUAGUAAGCAACAGUCCCUGGCAAGAAAGGAAGAUAAGAAGGCGAAGUCUGAAAGCAGAAAGCGAAAACCAAACGAGGCCGUUGCUAAGGAUGAAAAGAGCGGGAAAGAAACGAUCAAGAAACCGGAGAAACGUCUAGCCGACAAGCAAUUCUCGAUGAAGAUGGUAGAGAAGAAGAACGUGAUAGAUGAGGAGAGCAGCAGGAAGGACGAGCAGAAGGUGGUCGAUCAGGGGAAAGUCAUCGAGUGCGUGGAGAAUUCGUCGAAGAGCGAGGAAAAGAAAGUGAAGAAGAUCGGUGGCAAGGACGCGAUCAACACGUUGGAGGAGGAAAUGAAGCAGCGUAGAGCGGAGAGGGACAGCCCGAAGAAGUCGCUGAGAGGAUUGGACAAACUGUUGGAGAAACGCGAGCAUCACGACAAGAUGUCCAAGAGCAAGAAUUCCGAGGUGAAGGUCGAGAAGGUUGCCUGCGACGAGGAGAAGGAGGAGAAGGAGUCAGUGGAGGAAAACCGGCAAAUGAAAGAGCUCGUGAAGAACGAGGACCGCGAGAACCAUGUCAACGAAAGCGACGUUGUUAUCGAGAGGCCAAAGUCGGAGGAACAGAUGAUGGAGGAGGAGAUGAUAAAGAAGGAUAUCGUCGACAUGCCACAGGUGGAGAAGCUCGCAACUGGAAAGAGGAAAUCGGAUCGGAAUCAAACGAAGUGUUUGGACGGGGAAACUGUCGAGCAACGUGGCAUCGAAUCGCCGCAGAAUCUCGAGCCGCAGUCCAUUCUCGUUGAGGAGAGCGUGCCGAAAGAGAGCGUGAAAGAUCAAGAGAACGUCAAGUCCGUUUUGGAAAGAGUCGAGUGUGAGAAGGAACAUCAGAAACGGCGAAAGUCUGGGAACAGAUCGAUCUUCUCGCCGCAGCACGGCAAGGACGCGAGUGUAUCGGAGUUGUUCGACUUCGAUCAGGACAUGCUGACGGAGGAGAUCGUGAACGAGGACGGAUUCGGUAUAUCGAGAGACGUGGAGGAACGCGGUGUACCGUUGAGCUUCUCGUUCAACAACGAGCUGUGGUUCAAGGAAGACUCGAAGGAGGACAGCGCUAGGGAAACGUUGCACCUCGUGGAGAAAUUGCGGAUGGAACUCUCGAAGAAGUCAAAUUCUAGUCAGUUCGAAUCAGAGGCAGUACCUGCCGAUGGCGAAAUUAAAAAGGAAGAACCACCGAUCGAGAAGACGUACGAGCAACAGCAACAGCUCACGCAGCAACUUCAACCGCAACAGUCACCACAGCUUCAACAACAACAACAACAACAACAGCAGCAGCAGCAGCAGCAGCAGCAGCAGCAGCAAGAACUUGCUCAAACUCAGUUAGAAAAAGAGGCAAAGAUCCUCGAGCCUAUCGUGGAACGUGAGAUUAUGAACGUGAAGAACGUUGAAAUUCCCGAGGAGGAGGUAGCUAUCAACGAGACCCGUCCCGGCAGUUGCAACAAGACCACGGUAGAGGAGAAGAGGAAGGCUUGCUACUCGAGCGACAGGUAUGCAGCGUACGAGGAGGAUCGCGAGGCGAGCAAGGUGAGCUUGGUGGAGCGAUCGAAGCUCGAUCGCGCGGAGACGGACGAGAGAUGGGUGCCCCCGAGUAUCAACAGUUUCGAGCUGAGCGAUGUUCAACACCUGAACGCAUUGAUGGAGACGCAGAAUCGUCGAUACGGCAAUCAUCAGUUCCCCAACGAAACUAUACCGGAGAGCGAGCCUAUCGCGCGUGCCCACUUAAACGCGCCCAGCAUACAGGAGCAGUAUCUGUUGCAGCAGUCGCAUUCGAUCCUGCAACACAGUCAGCAAGAAUCGCACGAGAGGACGAUGCUCGAUCAACCGAUACCAGAGGAGAACCCCAUGGAAAUGGUGAACAGACACCUGAUCGGUUUGCCAGCGUCGGAGGACGACCAGGCUGCCGAGAUGAUGGACAGGGUGCUCGAGAAGGAGGACGACGUUGUCAGGCAACAGGAGUACGAUCAAAAUUCCCCGUACAACGACAUAAACGGUCGUCCCGACACCAGGUGGGCGGAGAGUCAGGUUCUACCGUCUCGAAGGUCCACGUCCUCUUCGAUUACCUCCGCCUCGUCCGCGGAGGACCAUUCCAUUCCACCGUACAAGAACGUGCCGAGCAUUCCGUUCCCACCGUGUUCCAUGGAGACGACGUACUACGCGGACUCCAGCUACGGAACUGGUCCAGUCAGCCUGUUCCCGCCGCAGUCCUGCGCAGCCCCGCUGCCUUACCCUUCCCCUGGACCGGCCCUCUUCCCACCGGCGUUCGGUGCAGCGUUCCCAGGCGCUCAGUCGUUGUUGCCGCACGUGAAGCCGCUGGAAGAUUCGCUGAAUCUGCAAGCUUCGCCAUGCACCGCGGCGUUCACGUCUUCCUCGCACAACAUGGCGCUCACCGCGGCCAUGGUCUCGCCUACUAAGAUAGUCACUCCACCGCCACCUCCGCCGCCGCCACCUCCGCAAGUCACCGUUCCACCCACGGCAGAACCGAUAGAAAGAACGCAACAACAACAGCAGCAGCAGCAGCAGCAACAGCAACAACAACAACUUCAAACGCAAGUGACGGAUUCACCCUCGUUGCCGAUCAACUUCUUGAACACUGUGGCGCCGGAGAGUCACGCCAGCGACUCGACCGUCGUCGAGAACCUCCAAGAAGCAUUGACGGACGGCAAGAGCCAGCAACACCCUGGGAAAAAGUCACCCUCGAAACCCACGAGGACCUCCGCUCGCGUAACCUCUCUGCAAGGAAAGUCACCGGGCAAGUCCCCGAGGCAGGAAGCUCAGAAGAACGUUGCCGGGGCGCGAGGUCGUGGCAGGGGCGCCAAGAACUCGGCGCAGCACUCCGGUUACAGGGGACGCGGACGAGGGAGGGGCAGAGGACGAGGUAGAAGCGGGCAAAGUUCCGGGCUCUCGCUGGUCGCCAGCGCGAGCAUCGGGCAACACGACGACUCCAUACAGAACAAACUGGUCGGCACGGUGUACGACUUCGACUCCGACGAGGAUUCGACCAGCGAGGCGAACAUCGCCGACCUGCGCACCAUGAGGGAGCGGAAGAAGUCGACGGACGCGGCGGCAGCUGGCGUUGAGCGGAGAGAUUCCACGGUAAUGGCCUCCGGAGAAAGUGUCCAGUCGAGGCUGUCCAGUCCUGGAGGCAGCAAAAAGUACCUGGAGGACAGACGAUUUUCUCCGGGUCGCGACGACGGAGUCGUUGUGGAGAGCCAGACGAACGCUGGCAGCUUCGACACCGUCCUACCGCUCAUCCCAGGCCCCGUCGACAUGAGAACGUACAACUCCACCCUCGACGCCUCGAGCUCCUCGACGUUGCACGGCCAGACGUACGAGAACCACUUCCUGGGGACGUUCACCAGUGUCUCGGCGAACGACCCCGCCCUCCCGGACAUCGAGGAGGACCUCGAGAAGGAGUUGAGGUCCGCGCUGAUCAAGCAAGGCCAGGAGGACUGCUCGAAGCCGAAUUUCGACGCGAGUAUCGACGCCUCGUCGUCCGGCUUCGUGGACGCGAACAAGGUCUCCCUGACGGACUCGAGGAACCAGCUGAAGGUGAAGAUCAAGGGCCCGUUCCUGGACGCGAACUACGUCGCUACCUCGUCGGUGCCGCCGCUCGCGCAACAGGCGCCCGUGAUAAUCGCCCCAGCGGCUACCAGUGCUUCCAUCGCUUCCGGUACCUCGAAUCUCCGACGGAUGCGCAAGAAGGAGUUGCUGAGACAGUACUGCUCUCAGGACAUGAACAUGGACGAGCCGGGCUGUGGCAACCUGGCCACAUCGGCGCCGAUCAUCAUGCCGCAGAUCAACCGCACGGUGAUCACUAUACCGAAAGCGGUCGCCUCGAUGACCAGUAUACCGACGAGGGAGGACUACAAGGCGGUCGUCGACGCGAACAUGGAGAAGAAACGAAGGAAAGAGAGGUCCGCCGGGUUCCUGGAUGCCAACGAGGAGGAGGGCGGCGUGGAGAGGAGGCGCGGCAGUGCUACGAACGGUGCUAGCUCGAGCGGGAACGCUCCGGUCGGUAACACGGAUCGGAGGAGAGGCAGGCAGAGCAGCGGCGGUAGAUCGGCGACCACCGCCACAACCACCACCACCACGAACAGCGGGCCACCGAAGCUGAAGAUCAAGAUCGGCAACAGCAUAAUCGGCGGUCAGGAGAGCGGGCAGGACGACAGAACGAGGAUCAGGCCGCCGAAGAAACGGCUGUGCAGUAUUCCCAGCAGCACGCCGAGCAUCGAGGAGCUGAGGAGAGAGAGCAUGAAGUUCAGGCGUAUGAUCAUGGCCGGUUUCGACAACGACGAGAAACUGCGGGGCAAGAGCAAGAAGGACAAGAACGGGAAACGAAAGAAACGACAGUCGAGCAAGAAGGAGGCGAGGGUGCGUAUCCUCGAGGGUGGGACCGCGCCGCCGAAGUUGAUAAUAAGACUGGGCAAGGGUAACGAUUCACCGGACGAGUUGCCCAUCUUGCUUACCGACGACGAGGAGGAGGAGGAGGAGGAACGACACCCGACCGACAGUAGAGUGGGCCCUCCGCCUCCGGAACCGGCCAAGGACGAGCCGGUUUACCCGUCGGUGGCUGCCAACAUCGAGGAGAAACAGCCAACCGACCCGGACACCGGCGGCAGCGCGCCGAGAAACGUUCGUUCGGCAAAGGUCACGCCGAUCAGGUUAAAAUUGACCCGCUGCCAGGAGGGAUACGAGCUGAAAGGCCCGCCGGACCACGGCGAGGAGUCCGGUUUAACGACGGAGAAACCGGAGCCGAGUCCCGACGUGACGAACGAGAUGAGAAAUCCAGCGAUCAAGGGCCAAGAGGAGGAGGAGUCUUCUAGGGAGGAGGAAGAGGAGGAAGAGGAGGAGAACGGUGGUACGGUGCAAAGGGACUCCUCCGCGUGUCCUGCCGCGACAAGUAUACCGCAGGGAUGCCAAGUUAGGUGAUAAUUAAUGAUACUCGUGGAGUAAAAUGAAGCGGAGGACAUGAACACGAUGAUACACACACAAGGUGCUUGUACGACUUUUGUACGAUCGAAUAAAAGAAAAAUGGACUCGAUUACACGCUUGCGGUUACACUAUGCUGUGAAAAGCACGUUGCCGUAAUAAGGUGAAAGACUGUUCCUCCAAGAGAAAUACGGUCCGAGAAGAUCGAGAUAGUUCCGUUUGGGUUCGAGAUUAUCAAUAACUGUUAUCGAAUAAUACUUAUAAUUGAUACAAUUAUACCAAGUAUAAACUUUGUCAACUGUUCAAUCACUAAGCCUAUGAUGUGAUAGUUUUUGAUACAACAUUUUUUACCAAGUUAAACACGUGAAACAAAAAAACGCUCAUUUCGGCGAGAGGAAACAAGGUGGUCGCGACUUCUAAGAUAUACUCGUUUUGGACUCGCUUCAAGGGACGUUCUCUCACGUUAAAACGAGAAGAACUUAUACUCCUCGAGAAAAAAGAGAAAAGAAAAUAGUAAUAAUAGUAAUAAUAAUAAUAAUAAUAAUAAUAAUAAUAAUAAUAAUAAAAAAUAAUAAAUAAUAAUAAUAAUAAUAAUGAUAAUCCGGUUUUAUUCUUAAAACAAUACUCGACGAGAUGAAAACGGGCGUGCCAUUUCGCGGCGGCGGCGGCGGCGGCGGCGGCGGCAGCGGCGACGACGACGACGAGAGAUGUCUGUUUUUUCCUUGAUAAGAGAGAAAGCAGAUCGAAGAAACAGUCGAGGUUGUUGACGAAGAUCUCCAUGGAAUCGACACGUGUGUGAAUUCAACGGGCCGUGAAGUUGUAGAAAAAGAGGAAGA